rnacentral:rRNA from 1 species
UACGAAGGGGGCUAGCGUUGCUCGGAAUCACUGGGCGUAAAGGGUGCGUAGGCGGGUCUUUAAGUCAGGGGUGAAAUCCUGGAGCUCAACUCCAGAACUGCCUUUGAUACUGAGGAUCUUGAGUUCGGGAGAGGUGAGUGGAAUUCCGAGUGUAGAGGUGAAAUUCGUAGAUAUUCGCAAGAACACCAGUGGCGAAGGCGGCUCACUGGCCCGGUACUGACGCUGAGGCACGAAAGCGUGGGGAGCAAACAGG